UAGGGAAUAUUGGACAAUGGGCGCAAGCCUGAUCCAGCCAUGCCGCGUGUGUGAAGAAGGCCUUCGGGUUGUAAAGCACUUUUGUCCGGAAAGAAAUCCUUGGCUCUAAUACAGUCGGGGGAUGACGGUACCGGAAGAAUAAGCACCGGCUAACUACGUGCCAGCAGCCGCGGUAAUACGUAGGGUGCAAGCGUUAAUCGGAAUUACUGGGCGUAAAGCGUGCGCAGGCGGUUUGCUAAGACCGAUGUGAAAUCCCCGGGCUCAACCUGGGAACUGCAUUGGUGACUGGCAGGCUAGAGUAUGGCAGAGGGGGGUAGAAUUCCACGUGUAGCAGUGAAAUGCGUAGAAAUGUGGAGGAAUACCGAUGGCGAAGGCAGCCCCCUGGGCCAAUACUGACGCUCAUGCACGAAAGCGUGGGGAGCAAACAGGAUUAGAUACCCUGGUAGUCCACGCCCUAAAACGAUGUCAACUAGUUGUUGGGGAUUCAUUUCCUUAGUAACGUAGCUAACGCGUGAAGUUGACCGCCUGGGGAGUACGGUCGCAAGAUUAAAACUCAAAGGAAUUGACGGGGUCAUAGCUGUUUCC
rnacentral:rRNA from 1 species